GUAGGUGAACCUGCGGAAGGAUCAUUAUCGGUAGGGAUUCGUCCCUAUUGAGAUAGCACCCUUUGUUUAUGAGCACCAUUUGUUUCCUCGGCGGGCCUGCCCGCCGCUAGGACCCCCAAUAAACCUUUUGUAGUAGCAGUAUCUUCAGUUACAAACAAAUAUUAAAACUUUCAACAACGGAUCUCUUGGUUCUGGCAUCGAUGAAGAACGCAGCGAAAUGCGAUAAGUAGUGUGAAUUGCAGAAUUCAGUGAAUCAUCGAAUCUUUGAACGCACAUUGCGCCCUUCGGUAUUCCGUUGGGCAUGCCUGUUCGAGCGUCAUUUAACCCUUCAAGCUCUGCUUGGUGUUGGGCGUUUGUUCCGCCUCCGCGCGUGGACUCGCCUUAAAUUCAUUGGCAGCCGGUAAGUUGGCUUCGUGCGCAGCACAUUGCGUGGCGAUUCUAGCCUGCCUACUUCCAGUAAAGCUCCUUUAUUACUUUGACCUCGGAUCAGGUAGGGAUACCCGCUGAACUUAA
rnacentral:rRNA from 2 species